rnacentral:antisense_RNA from 1 species
UAGGAAAGUCAAGAAAUAGGAAGGAAAUUGGUCAGUUUUCCAUCAUCAUUGGUUGGGCUUGAAAGUAAAGCACAAAGAAAGUAGAAACAACACAUCAAAGUGAGGGAUUUAUAAAGCAGGAGACUGAAAACCAGCUGGUGACUCUUGAAUUCCUCACCCUUAUUGAGAGGAUAAAAGGCUUAUAGCCCUCACCCUUUCACCUCAAAUCAAGAGGGAAGGGUUUUAGAAACACAACUUGGAGAGCUUAAUAUGUAUCCCUGAAGUUUGAGGAAAGGGGACGUAAUGUACUGACUUCUGCCUGGAAAGUCUAACAGGUGGGAGAUUAAUUGGCUGCAAUGAAGGAGAAAGCCAAUGACAGGCUGCUUCUUGACUGGAAUUGUUCAGCACUCCAGAGGCUGUCAGGGAAAGGAUGUGAGCAUGCUGCCUGGAAUCUGAUGUGGCUCAGCUGUAGGACAAAGAUAGUGUGUUUUCUUAAGUUCUGACCAAAUGAACCACCUUAAGAGACAAAGAUCACUCAGCAGGGAAAGCUGAAGAUGCUAUGAGAUGCCAGAGGUUGGGGAAGGAGCAAACAACCAGCUGGAAUAUAUAUGCCUUUUCUCAAAGUAAAGAAAAUUGCAAGUGGAAGAAUUCCAGCCAUGGGGUCUCCAAAGCAUCCGUGAAACUGUUCCACAAGACAAGGAUGGAUGACUGAAUGCCAAACCCAGAGAGCAGUGAAGCUAAAUCAACUCAAUCAUCUCAGUGAAGAAAGAAAUCUCCUGUCCUUUCCUGUCCCUGAACUCCAUGCUGAAGGGACAUGUGCUGUAGGUAGCAAAACAGGGGAGAAAGAAUUUCAGUUUUCUGUUUCCCUUGAAAUUUUCUAGCUAAAUCACUCCCAAAUGCGGAAGGAAAAAGCAUGAAGUUUUUUAUUUUUAUUUUUUGAGACUGAGUCUUGCUCUGUUGCCCAGGCUGGAGUGCAGUGGUGCGGUCUUGGCUCACUGCAACCUCUUCUCGGGUUCAAAUGAUUCUCCUGCCUCCGCCUCCCGAGUAGCUGGAAUUACAGCCGUGCACCACCAUGCCCAGCUAAUUUUUAUAUUUUUAGUAGAAACAGGUUUCACUAUGUUGGCCAGGCUGGUAAUGAACUCCUGACUUCAGAUGUCUGCCAGCCUUGGCCUCCCAAAUUGCUGGAAUUACAGGCAUGAGCCACCACACCUGGCCACAUGAAAGCAUGAAAUUUAAUGCAGAUAGAUUUGCCUAUCGUAUAAAAAUGGAAAACUGAAUUACUAAGUGGAACUGAUAUUUUGUGAUCCAGGAAUGACCAUGUCUGAACUUUCAUUUGAGGGGAAAAAGGAUAAUUAACACCAUUGAACAAAUUUAAAGGGAGAAUGGAAGACAAAGUAAAGUUGUUUUAUGUUUACAUACAGCUGUGCUAUUAAGAAGAAAAGCUACUGA